rnacentral:sRNA from 1 species
GUGUCAAUGUGUAAACUACACUAAAAAUAUAGGUUGUGUCAAUGUGUAAACUACACUAAAAAUAUAGGUUGUGUCAAUGUGUGAACUAAACAGAGUGUAUAGGUUGUGUCAAUGUGUGAACUAAACAGAGUGUAUAGGUUGUGUCAAUGUGUAAACUAAACAGAGUGUAUAGGUUGUGUCAAUGUGUGAACUAAACAAAGUAUAUAGGUUGUGUCAAUGUGUAAACUA